rnacentral:rRNA from 1 species
GAUGAACGCUAGCUACAGGCUUAACACAUGCAAGUCGAGGGGAAACGACGGGGAAGCUUGCUUCUCCGGUCGUCGACCGGCGCACGGGUGAGUAACGCGUAUCCAACCUGCCUCUGACCAAGGGAUAACCCGUCGAAAGUCGGCCUAAUACCUUAUGCAGUCGUCGGAAGUCAUCUGAUGACGACGAAAGAUUUCAUCGGUGAGAGAUGGGGAUGCGUCUGAUUAGCUUGUUGGCGGGGUAACGGCCCACCAAGGCGACGAUCAGUAGGGGUUCUGAGAGGAAGGUCCCCCACAUUGGAACUGAGACACGGUCCAAACUCCUACGGGAGGCAGCAGUGAGGAAUAUUGGUCAAUGGGCGGGAGCCUGAACCAGCCAAGUAGCGUGCAGGAUGACGGCCCUAUGGGUUGUAAACUGCUUUUAUGCGGGGAUAAAGUGAGGGACGUGUCCUUCAUUGCAGG